AGUGGAUAAAAGAUAGAAACCCUCUUCAUUUCUGGGAAAAAAAGGUAGCCAGUUUAAACUGUAAUGCCCCCCCACCCCUUGAAAUGCACUCCCCUGACUCAGUCCCCCCGCACAACACCCCCCAACAAAAUUCCAGACCACUCUUGAUUAUUUCAUGACAAAUUAAUGAUAUAAAAGAUCUGGAGUUGAUUCCAAGUGUUGAAUUUGCAUUUGGUAGCCAUUCAUGGGAACUGUAUAAUAACUAUAUAAUAUGAAGUCCAGAGGUGUCGAUGCAAGUCAAGGAGGCCAUCAUUAGAAUUAAAAAACCAAAACAGUCAUAUCGGAGAGAUAGCAGAGACUUUAGGAGUGGCCAAAUCAACAAUUUGGUACAUUCUUGAAAAGAAGGAAUGCACAGCAACAUCAAAAGCCCUGGAAGACCAUGGAAAACAACUAAAUUGGAUGAUCACAGAAUUCUUUCCUUGUCGAAGAAAACCCCCUUCACAACAUCUUGUCAAGUCAAGGACACUCUGGAGGAGGUAGGAGUAUCAUUGUCAGAGUCUACAAUCAAGAGACACCUUCAUGAAUGUAAAUACAAGGGGUUUACCUCAAGAUGCGAAACCACUGGUAACACUCAAGAACAGAAAGAGCAGAUUAGACUCUGCUAGAAAACAUUGGAGGGAAAAGCCUGCCCAGUUCUGGAACAAGAUUCUUUGGACAGAUAAAACCAAGAUUAACUUGUACCAGAAUGAUGGGAAAAGACGAGUAUGCAGAAGGAAAGGAAGGGCUCAUUAUCCAAAGCAUACUACAUCAUCUGUCCAAAAUGGUGGAGGUAGUGUUAUGGCAUGGGCAUGUAUGGCUGCCAAUGGAACUGGGUCACUGGUGUUUAUUGAUAAUGUGACUGCUGAUAGAAGUAGCAGGCUGAAUAUUCUGAAGUGUAUAGAGCUAUACUGAUCAGAGUCAGCCAAAUGCUGCAAAAAUGAUAGGACGGUGCUUCACAGUACAGAUGGAUAAUGACCCAAAACAUACAGCGAAAGCAACCCAAGAGCUUCCUAAUGCAAAGAGAUGGAAUGUUCAUAAAUGGGCAAAUCAGUCAUCUGACUUCAACUCAAUUGAGCAUGCUUUUCACUUACUGAAGACAAAACUGAAGGCAGAAAGACCCACAAAUAUGCAGCAACAGAAGGCAGCUGCAGUAAAGGCCUGGCAAAGCAACUCAAGGGGGGAAACUCAGCAUUUAAUGAUGUCCAUGGUUUCUAGAUUUGAGACAGUCAUUCAUUGCAAAGGAUUUGCAUCCAAGCAUUAAAAAUGAUCUUGAUUUUAUAAUCAAGUAAUAGUUUGAUUAUAAUAUAUAGUUUGUCCAGUUACUUUGAGCUUGUGAAAAUGGAGGGACUCUGUAAAAAAAAAGAUAGUUGUCAUUCCUAAAAGGUUAAUGCAAUAUUUUUGUUAAAGCCCUUGAAUUAAAGUUGAAAGUCUGCACUUCAAUCACAUCUUGAUUGCUUCAUUUCAAGUCCAUAUUGAUGGUGUAGAGAGGCAAAAUUACAAAAAUUGUGUCACUGUCCAAAUAUGUAUGGAGCCGACUAUAUAUCUCCACAUAGACAGUAACCUGAGCUCAGGAUCGAACCAAGGACCUGUUGCUACAGCACCAUGCUGUCCAUUUUGUUAUGAUUUUAAUUUGAAAAGUAGUGCAACCUAGAUUAAAAAUAGAGCACUGAAUCCGAGUCUGAAUAAUUGAUUCUUUUCUUUUUUUUUUUUUUUAGAAAAUACAAUCAUCACUCAGCCUCACACACUCAAAAAACAAAAGUAUAUUAACCCUAUCAUCAACCCACAUAUAUUGAGUCCAGUGUGACCUGCCCUCUUUUUUUCAAAUAACAAGGGCCAAUUCAGCUAAAAUUAGUUCUGGGCCAGACAAGACUAAUUGAGAUAAACAGUUGGAGAGAAAAGUCCAAGUCCACUACUGAGGGCAGCUGGAAUUCUUUAUUUAGGCUUUGUUUACAGGGACACUGUAAAUGCACUGUUUGCUGUUGAUAUUAAGGAGUUAAAACUUAAAUGGAACAAAGUAUGACAGGACUAUGCAUCAUCUCAUAGGAGAGGGUUUAGGUCAGAGCAUCCUAUGUAUGCAUGACCGUCCAUGUGAUUCAUGGUCAAGCCCACCCCUCUCCCCACUUCAAGCAUGCAAUGCGUAUUGAUGAUUUCCAAAAUGUUGGCUUUAAGCUUAUCUGAGAAUCACAGCUGAGGAACAUAGCAGUUUGGAGCUAAGCAAGAAUGAAGACAAGAAGGACGAAACACGAAACUCCAAUUUGAAAAAAGAAAUUUAAUGGUUGAGAUGCCACAUAUUACCAAAUUGCACUAGAACACUUGGACCUUUCUUUACAUACUGAUCAGUAUUUUGUGUAAGGAACUAUAUCUCUGUCUCAAACUGUGUUCUUCACAUGCUAGUGCACUAUUAAUACCUGGAUGAUGUGCUAGAAUUACAGAGAACGGAUGUAUUGAACACCAGAGACACUCAGAGCUCACAGUGUGCUAUAUGUACUGGAAUGAAUGUGGUCAUUAGUCUGAAAUUAGAGAAUGACACCUAACUGCUAGCUCUGUGUAUGGUAGCUCGACUGCAGGUAACUAAUGUUUCCUACAGCGUAAGGGUGCUUUCACACUUUCAGAAAAAAUAAUGCCAAGCCAUAACAUAAUCAUAACAAUGCUCUUUCUUUUUCUAGCUAGUAUCGGCUAACUAACUAUCCUGGGUUUGCUAUAUAGAUUAGAUUUAUUAUUAUCAGUAAUAAAGAUUAAAUAAAGAUUUUUUGAGGGUUGUUUUUGCUUCGCUGCAGCUUUGGAUGACUAAUUCUUCACCAGCUCUUUAUCCUCCAUGGUUUUUUCCUCGUUUGCCCCAACUUGCAACAUGACUGGAGGUAAAGCAAAAAAAAAUAAAUUUUUAAUUCUUGACGUCAGUUGGGAAUUUUCUGAAAAGUUGAACCUUGGAUGCUCUUUUGCGACCAAAAAAUGCAGACGGGAACGCUAUUCCCAUAAGGCUAAAUGUAAAAUGUGUGAGGGCAGAUGAGAAAAAAUGGCAAGUGGGAACGCACGUCAACACGCCCCUGCUAUGUAAAUGGGUCACUGGGGCAUCUGGAUUCUGAAGUGGGAAGAAAAAACCGAGAAGGUAAAAAGAGAGCUCAAGAGAAGAAACGAAAAGGAGAGAGGGAGAGAGAGAGAGAGAAAUAAAGAGAGAGAAAGAAAUGGGACGAAAGAGAGAGCAAAGGAAUUCGGGUGGGUGGAGGAAAGGACUGCAGAAUCUGUGAGUCUUUGAGGCUACUGAGACUUAGAGCAGAUGUGGACUGCCAAACCUUUCACAGUAUAGGUCCUAGUGUGCUGUUGCCUAUGGAAGCAACCAGGGUCGUGGGAAGCCUGGAGCCUUUCCCAGGGGAUUCGGGGCACAAGACAGGGGACACGCUGGACACCCAUCGCAGGACACAUUCACACACACAUUCACAUACUACGGACAAUUUAGAGAUGCAAAUCUGCCUACAGUGUAUAUCUUUGGACUGGGGGAGGAAACUGGAGUACCCGGAGGAAACCCUUGAAGCACAGGGAGAGCAUGCUCUGUGUACACAGGGUAGAGGAGGAAUUCGAACCCCCCAUCCCUGGAGGUGCGAAGCAAAUGUGCUAACCACUAAACCACCAAAUAAUAACUCAACAAUUCUAAUGAAACUCUUAUCAGUCUUUAAACUGAAUCACCAAACUGUAACACUAUUUAUGUGUUCAGGUAUUGUCAUUUAUCAAGAACAAAAAGAAGCAACAGCAACAAUAUUAUAUUCAGGAAGUACUUUUCUUUUCUUGUACAAUUUUGUUUUAUAACACUGAUUUGUUGUUCUGUUCUAUACAGUAUGUACACUUUGUUCAUCAUUAAAUAUAUAUAUAUAUAUAUCAAUUAAAUAGGGGGGGCAGUGGGAGCAGAAAGAGCUCUGUUCACUCGGAGAGAGAUGAAGAGUGUGAUGGGGAAAGAGAGAAGGAUGUAGAGAAUCAGGUUGCUUAAUAUAGACAAACAUUUUCAGUGUCUGUCACAGUCCCUAAAGCCUCAGUAAUGUAUACCAUGGGAUUAACACUCCUGUGUUUAUGAGCACACACACACACACACACACACACACAGACACACUAGUAAAAUCCAACAGUUCUCAUCAGUGUGUGACUGUGGACUCUCUGACCUUACUGUGAGAGUAAACAGCAGUCAUAAAGUAGCCAAACACGGCUAAAGCCAUGAACUAGUUUAUUAGACAUCCAUACAUCCGGAGCUGCUCCCCAAUAAAGACGUCAUGGAUAGUGAUGAACUCUCAGCUAGUGGGAGGAAACAAUAGAGAGAGAGAGAGAGAGAGAAAUGAAUUAUAGGUGUACUAUAUAACUCAGUGUACUAUAUAUAGUGCAAAAUAAUAUUCUUUUCAGAGUGUUUCACACACUUCACAUUCCAGGUGCACCGCAACAUGGCUGCAACAUCCUUCCCCACUUUUGUAUAUUGUACUGUGUUUAUUGUCUUCUUAUGUACUUUUUUUUCGUUAUGUAUGUUUUUAUUCUGUUUUGAUCAUUUGUUUUGACUUGGGUCCAUACGGCAUAAGGAAACCCCAGCAUGCUCAGCUCUUAGUCACUGACUUCAUGUCUCUUUAGUUAAUGUACAGUAUAAUUCAAAAGUUUGGACAUGCAUUGUAAUAGAGAGGGGUUUUUUUUUUCUCUCCCAUAUUUUCAGUAAUUUCUACCUUUUAAAAUAAUAGUGAAGACAUUCAUUGGAUCUGACUGGACGGAUCUGGAGUCUGUCCCGGGAACACUAGGUUACAGGGCACCAUGCAGACAUCAGAACUAUACAAUAACUUAUGUGGAAUUAUUCUGUGUAUGCCCCUCCCCCCUCCCCCCCCAAACGAUUAUUGAAUAAAUGAAAAC